rnacentral:rRNA from 1 species
GAAACUCAAAGGAAUUGACGGGGACCCGCACAAGUAGCGGAGCAUGUGGUUUAAUUCGAAGCAACGCGAAGAACCUUACCUAAGCUUGACAUCCCAAUGACAUCUCCUUAAGCGGAGAGUUCCCUUCGGGGACAUUGGUGACAGGUGGUGCAUGGUUGUCGUCAGCUCGUGUCGUGAGAUGUUGGGUUAAGUCCCGCAACGAGCGCAACCCUUGUCUUUAGUUGCCAUCAUUAAGUUGGGCACUCUAGAGAGACUGCCAGGGAUAACCUGGAGGAAGGUGGGGAUGACGUCAAAUCAUCAUGCC